rnacentral:lncRNA from 1 species
GAAUGGCUAAAUUAGCAAAAAUUUACCACCUGUCUGAUAACAAGUGCUGGAAAUGUAAAGAGUGUGAAGGAACGUUCUUUCACCUCUGGUGGACCUGCCCUAAAGUGAAGGCGUUCUGGGAAAUGAUUUAUAAUGAAUUGAAAAGGUAUUUAAAUAUACUUUCACUAAGAAACCAGAGGCUUUCCUUUUGGGUAUUGUCAGCCAAGGGGUGGCAAAGAAGGACCAGACAUUUUUAUGUAUGCAACAACAGCAGCAAGGAUACUACUCGCAAAACAUUGGAAAACUCAAGAUCUACCCACACUGGAAGAAUGGCAGAUGCAACUGAUAGACUAUAUGCAACUGGCUGAAAUGACUGGCAGAAUCCGUGACCUGGGAGAAGAGAGAAUCGAGGAGGAUUGGAAGAAAUUUAAGAACUACCUACAAAAAUAUUGUGAUUUGACUGAAUGCUGAAUAAGAUGCUAGACUAAAUAACUGAGCACCACUUAACUUAGAAGUUUUUAAGAAAAUAAGAAAAACUGUGAAAGUUUAACUCUUUAUGAGAACUAUGAGAUCAUGAAAUAUCGAAGAGAUAUAAGAAUUUAAAUAAGAUGAUAAAUUGCUGACAAAAUGUUAUAAUGAUGAAGGUGGGUGCGGGAGAUGUGAGGAAGUCCAAAGAAAAUGUGAAAUUAUGUUAAGACGAAUGUUAUAUUUUUUAUUAAAUUUAUUCCUAUUGUAAAAUCCAAUAAAUUGCUUU